rnacentral:hammerhead_ribozyme from 1 species
AUUCAGCUGACGAGUCCCAAAUAGGAUGAAACUGGAGUCUUGAAU